AAAUACAUUGUCAGGUGUUUUUAUGGCCGGCAAGAGUAUCAUUGUGAAAUUAGAUCAUGUGUACGUCUGUCAUAUAAUAUCGUUAUAAAUUAUGUGUACUUGUAGAGAGACAUUCUUUACAUGUUUUUCAACCGUGAAUUAAAAUGAACAUGAUUAAAUAUUAAAUUGAAUUAAAUUCAAAUUUAAAUAAAAUUACGAAUAAAAAAAACGUCUAUUCAGAAAAUUUGUCCGUAGAAAAAUUCGAAUUUUCGCUUUAUUACGUUUUUCACGAAAACUGUCUAAUUUUAUUCUCGGCGUAAUAUUAUGUCAUAUUUUAAUCAUUUAAUUAUGGUACACAAUACAACGAGCAUUUUCGGACUGAGUAAUGCAAAC